rnacentral:rRNA from 1 species
UCCGUAGGUGAACCUGCGGAAGGAUCAUUAGUGAAUAUAGGACGUCCAACUUAACUUGGAGUCCGAACUCUCACUUUCUAACCCUGUGCACUUGUUUGGGAUAGUAACUCUCGCAAGAGAGCGAACUCCUAUUCACUUAUAAACACAAAGUCUAUGAAUGUAUUAAAUUUUAUAACAAAAUAAAACUUUCAACAACGGAUCUCUUGGCUCUCGCAUCGAUGAAGAACGCAGCGAAAUGCGAUAAGUAAUGUGAAUUGCAGAAUUCAGUGAAUCAUCGAAUCUUUGAACGCACCUUGCGCUCCAUGGUAUUCCGUGGAGCAUGCCUGUUUGAGUGUCAUGAAUACUUCAACCCUCCUCUUUCUUAAUGAUUGAAGAGGUGUUUGGUUUCUGAGCGCUGCUGGCCUUUACGGUCUAGCUCGUUCGUAAUGCAUUAGCAUCCGCAAUCGAACUUCGGAUUGACUUGGCGUAAUAGACUAUUCGCUGAGGAAUUCUAGUCUUCGGACUAGAGCCGGGUUGGGUUAAAGGAAGCUUCUAAUCAGAAUGUCUACAUUUUAAGAUUAGAUCUCAAAUCAGGUAGGACUACCCGCUGAACUUAAGCAUAUCAAUAAGCGGAGGAA